rnacentral:misc_RNA from 1 species
UUUCCGUAGGUGAACCUGCGGAAGGAUAAUUAAUGUGUUUGGGCCUCACGGCUCUUCAUUCCGACGCUGUGCGCCUUCGGGCUGCACGCUGAGAGGGCAUAUAUCCACCCCUGUGCACACACACGGUGGCGAGCUGGGUAACGGCUCGCCGCUGAUCUUUACACACGUCUAAAAGUCAUUGUAUGUUUAUUUGAGAUAAAAACACAACUUUCAGCAACGGAUCUCUUGGCUCUC